CACGCAGUAAACGAUGAAUACUAGCUGUAUGCGAUAUACUGUAUGUGGCAAAGCGAAAGCGUUAAGUAUUCCACCUGGGGAGUACGUUCGCAAGAAUGAAACUCAAAGGAAUUGACGGGGGCCCGCACAAGCGGAGGAACAUGUGGUUUAAUUCGAUGAUACGCGAGGAACCUUACCCGGGCUUGAAAUGCAGAGGAAUGACGAGGAAACUUGUCCGCCAGCAAUGGUCUCUGUGUAGGUGC
rnacentral:rRNA from 1 species